GGCGCAGUCAUGAAUAAAUGCGAUAUGACGAAGAACCAGUCCAUGUAAUCAAGCGCACACUGACCUGGCACAACACAUAGAUCACCUACUGCUGCCAGAUGGUCUGAGUAGUGCGUCCAAGUAUCGUCCACGUCAUCAUAUGACACCCAUGAAUGGACAGGAUGUGUAGGAAUGCACUGGACGUAGUCGAACUGGAGCAUAACCCUCUCCGGUCUGUAUCUGAC
rnacentral:lncRNA from 1 species